rnacentral:lncRNA from 1 species
UUUAUGCUUUGUUAUCAUUUUCCCCAUAUCCAGUGCUCACAGAGAAGAUGAGAUGUAUUCCAGAAGCCCUCUGCAGGGAACUGUUCUCGCAAGAGGAAGCACUUGAACAGUUAGUACAGAAGGAGACGGGCUCCAUUGGUCAAGGCAUACUGAUCUUCUCUAGGAGCUGGUCUGUGGAUCUGCACUUGCCAAAGAACGAGGAAGUCAUCUGUGAUGCACUUCUGAUUUCCAAGGACAAUCCACCGGUCCUGUACACCUUCCUCAGGAUGGAAGAGGAAUUAGAAAAUGGUUCCACUCUCCACAGGGAACUAGAUGAGAAGAUAAAGGGGUAUUCUUCCCAAACUGCCCAAGUUUAAAGCAGAUGCUUACAAAACUUGGUAAUUAUACUGAGAAAAUAUGUAUCACGACGAAGAUAUUCUGCUUGAACCCUAAGGGAAAAAUAAUUGCCUUUUAUGAUUCAAGUGAGAAAGCAUUUUAUCCUGCGUCCUACUAUGUUGCAACAUUUGAAACCAUGAUAGACCAGCUGAAUGCUCUUUUUAUGGUCUUAAAGAAACUCGGGUCUGUGAGUGAGCAGUGGGCCUCUGAGAUUUUCAAUUAAUAUAGAUCGCUUAUAGGAAAAUUCCCUGAGGAGGUUUAAAUGGUGUCAAGGCCUCAUCCAAAUCAUAGAAGGUGCACUGGGCUACUGAGAAAUUUUUCAUCAUAAAGAGGAUGAUGAUCUCCAAGUCUGAAAAAUGAUCUCCAAAAAUGCUGCAAGCAAAGCAACUUCACCUAAUUGGAAAAAUAAAUGUAGCCUGUGUUUACUUCUUCCUGAGCCUUUGGGGAUUAUGAUUUGGGAGAUUUUAGAAUUCAAGUGUUCCAGACUCGGAACAUAUGUAAAAAGAUUUUUACAUAUGUAAAAAGAUUAUGCUUAAGGGUGAUUAGGAAACUUAAUCAGUUCACUAUUCUGUGCACGAUGGUUAUUUACUCGGUUCCUGGUUCAUGGAUAGACUUUGUUCCAUUUUUGGAUCAGGACAGACUGCUGACCCUUAACAAGAAUGAGAACUGUCCAGGACCUACUCAUAGAACUUUGUAACUUGGAAAAUAUCAUUGUUGAUGAAAGUCAUAAUUUCCCCAGUGGGAAUGAAAAAGAAGGGAAAUGUCAUCUCCCCCAAAGAAAGACCCCAGGAAUUCUUUAGGUCUUCUUGGACUACUUUACCUCUGCUCACUUGGAGGAGUCGAAACUUUCCUGAUCACUCUCGUAGCACCCUUAAAUACUCACCCGAAAAGUUAUUUUUCUACAAAUGGUUCUGAAUAAAGAAUGUGAGUGGAUGAAAUCCUACAAAAGCUCUCUCACUCAUCUCUGGGGGAAAGCAGCUGAAGGAAGUAGAAACCCUCACCGAUAUGGAAAGAUUCCAUAAGAAGAGGAGCACCAGGGUUUGGCGUUUCUCCCUCAUCAAAGAUGAGCUAGGGACUGUCCUGAAUCCAGUGGAGCCAGAUACAUCCUGGCUGCGGUGUUCUGAGUCCACGUCCAGGAGGCUCAGUGGGUCCUUGGAACAGAGAAUAGAGCUGGGAGCCCCGCAAGGCGCAGUUGAGAGGAGAGGAGCAAGGCCCUCAGAAUUCUGAGAAGAAGUAAACAUUACACAGACCAAAUUUACAAGCCACGUUGUCGUUUGAAUGUAAAAGAUAAUGACCUGUGCUGGUCAUUAUCCUGAAAGACGUAAUCCCAAACUCCAUCAUUGCAAAUGUUUAAAUCCCAAAAGAUCAAAAUGCCGAGUCUGGAACACUUGAAUUCUAAAAUCUCCCAAAUCAUAAUCCCCAAAGGCUCAAAUCUCCAAUGGUGAAAUUCUAAAAAGUUCCAAUUCCCAAAACCACAAAUCCCUGAAAAAAAAGAGGCCAUUUAGAGGGACGGGAAGCUGAAUUCUGGGGAAGUGACUGGCCACGGGUCAAGGCGGUGUGUCAAGGCAACAGUGACAACUUCAAUGUAAAUGUGUCAUGGUGUGCACUGACGUUCCCUCCUGAUGAUGAAACUCCAGGAGCUUAUGUUGAGUUCAAGUCAUGUUUGCCUGAAGGAGCCAGAGAGGUUACUGACUUGUGUAAUAUGGACACCAGCACCGUAUGAUAAGAAGACGCUAUGCAUGUUACUGUUCCGGUCACUGUAUUGUUCCUGCAAUCCUUGGUCUGUAUGGGAACGCAUGUGGGAUAGGUUUCCACGUCUCCAAAACACAGCACGGAGGUUGCGAAUAUUUCAUAGGAAUUGCUUGCGUCAGUAUUUAUCGAACAUGCAACAGUUUUGAAAGGAGCAGUGCCAUGAAGGAAAUGGACGUCAAUGUGUUCUCUCAGGAGAGCCAAGUCCUAAAGCUCAAAAGCAGCCAUUCAUGGCAGUCAGUGCUUCACAGUAAACCAGGCUCGCUGACACCCACCUGUUAUCCCAGUGACUUGGGAGGCUGAGGCAGGAGGAUUGUGAGUUCAAAGCCAGCCUCAGCAAAAGCGAGGCGCUAAGCAACUCAGUGAGACCCUGUCUCUAAAUACAAAAUAGGGCUGGGGAUGUGGCACAGUAGUUGAGUGCCCCUGAGUUUAAUGGCCGGUACACCCCCAUCUAUCUAUCUAUCUAUCUAUCUAUCUAUCUAUCUAUCUAUCUAUCAUCUAUCGUUAAUGAGCUGGAGGCCUGAGGUUCAACCAGAUUUUAUGGAGUUGGAGUACAGUCGUGCAUACAAUGUAUCCCUUUAAUGCACAGUCAUACGAUGAGUUUAAUUAAUCUUUUUUUUCUAUGUUUGAGCAUUUUCUCUUCAUAUCAUUUCCAGUACUGGAAAUAUAGAUGUGUAAUGACUUUUAGAGAGUCCAAUUUUGUUUCUGCACUUUUGCAAAUUGGACUCCAUGAAAGUACAUUACCAUAGCGUUGUGUUGACUUUCUACAGAAUUAUUGUGCGUAUAGAUAAAAAUGGCGAAACUCCCUCCAUAAGUGAAAGUCUUUCUGGUAGAUCUGGGAUUGGAAGGAUAAAAUUAUAAAGAUUCCAGUUCUUGGGUGGUUUUAGAGACAGCGGUGACUCUCCUGGUUUUGAUCAGGCUCAUCAGUAGAUUUGGGUUAUCCUUCAUCGAAUUCGGGUGACUGCAGUAAAAAAUUGAUGUGGACACAGUUGCCAAUCUGAGUGGUCCACAUUUGUAUGUGUCGUUGUCGGAAGUAUUUCUUUUGGAUACAGUGAAUCUGCUGAGAAUUGUUAUGCAAAUGCAACUAUCUUUUGGACCCUUGAGGGUUCAUCAUUACCCUGAGGUAAUUUCAUACUCAAGAAGAGAGAAGUGAGAAAAAGGCCUCCCACCAACACCAGUGUCUGUCACGGGAAUUGCAUGGUUAUGUCUUUGAGAUGAGACUGGAGCUCUUCUCCUCCCAGUUCAUGAAUGGUGAUUCAGAGGAAGGACAUCUGCAGCCUGAGGACUGAGAGGAAUGAGGAUGGACUCUGAUCCAGGUACGAGGGAGAAAGCGCCACCCUGCUUGUCCUUUCUCCCUCUUUGUGGCUUCUGGGUCCUUUAGUCUUUGUGACUUGGAGCUCCUCCUACCUCCUGCAGUUUGCUAUCUCCAAAUGUCCUUGAUCUUCAUAAAUGGACAAGUUUUAUUGGGAGGAUGAGGAAAAGCCAAAUAAAAUAUUUGGUGAAUGAUGAUUUUCCGCAAGAGAAGAAAUAGAGAGAAAUGUCUGAGGGGGAUCCCGUGUUGAACUCUACAUUUCUUAGCUUCUUUUCCUUGGAGUUGGCUGGAGCAUCAGAAUAAUGACUAGCUUGUGCCUCAGUCUAGCAGGAGACCAACUCUGGGAGGCAAGAGCCAAUGCUGGGUCAGGGGUGUUUCCAAAGGGCUUGGAGGAAAUGCAAGGCCAUAAAACACACUGUGAUUAGAAUUUUAGGAGAGCACUUUAAGUUAUAGUACAGUUCCAGCAAAGAACUUCAAAGGUACAAGAGGGAGCUUUAUACUGAGUGGGGCAAUAGGACUGGAGAUUCAAAAGAAAGUCUCUUCAUGAUGGAUCUUUGGGGACCUGGGUGUAGGGUCAAGAAAGAUUGAUGAGUCUCAUCUGCUGGCCUUCAUUACACCAGGGGAAGUGAAAUUGAGAUACACCUUGGUCUGGCCUCUUCUAGUGAGGAGGGGUGAAAUCACCUAAAUUGAGAUGUUUUCUUCUUUCAGGGUGGUCUGAAACUUUUGAAUCUCAGCUGAGUCUGUCCCAGUGUCUUCCAUGUUGCAGACUACUGUCUUCAAGAAAGGUCUAGAACAGAAAGCCAAUUUUCAAUUUUCUUUCCAGGUGUUAGCUGCCAGUUUACUUUAGGAGAGAGGGAGAUAGUUUAAAACAUUGAUUUAUAAAUUGAUGAAAAAUUUGUACUGCAACCCAGGUGUAUCAAGAGGCAAUGUCACAAGCCUGUUGGGGAAUGAGUUUCAGCUGCCUUUAGAAAUCAUCCAUUUUUGUGCUUGCAAAACCCAGCUGAUUGUCAGAAAUGGUAGAGGAGGUAGUUAAACACACAGGUAGAUGUCCCUACUCCACCAAGAACUUGUCCACAUAUGACUUCCAGCUAUGAGGCCUAAACAUGUGCACGUAAGCAAGCUUCUCAAAGGAUUCUGAUGCUCUUCCCAUGUUGGAACCACUGAUUUAGACACGGUAGGGAGAGCGUUAGACUGGAGGACAUGGUGGGUUAAUUGACUUCCUCUUCUCAGCUUCUCAGGUAUAUAGGAGAUACACCUAUAGAAAGAGUACAGACAUUCAGCUCAUAGAAUAUGAAAGGAGAGACCAUGAGUAAUUUCUCUUGGAAAAAUCACCAAGGUCCCGAUGGACUACAAUAUAAUCAUUCAAGAUCAGGUGCAAUGUUAGAUGACCUUUCCCACCCCUGCCCCUGACUUUUUUCACCUAGAUUUUGUCUAGGAAUUGUUACUUAGAAAAGGAAGUGUAGAUGUUUGAGGAGGGAAAUGUGUUUUUUACCUUCACAUAUUGAACCUUUUCAGUGUGAGAUGCGACAGCAUGUGACAUAGGCAUGUCUUAUGUAUAUCCAAACUUGUGUCAAGGGUCAGGUAAUUAGAAUAUUAGGACUCCUGUAGUUGCACCUUCAAGAAAAUAUUUUAUUUACCUGAAAUCUUUCUAGUCCUUAACAAAAAGGUGUUUAAACAUUCCACAACGAGGAUCUGAGAUUGAAGAGUGAUUGCAUAUCUGGUUUUCACUUCCUUGGGCUCAACAAAUUCCAUUUAUUUGGCACAAGUGCUCUCUAUGAGAUAAUAGAAAAACAACAUCGUUCUUUUCACCAGAUUUUUAGGAUACAGAUUGAGGAGAGGUGACCCAGAGGGAAAUUCUCUUAUGUUGUAUUACGGGAGCUUUAUUCUUUUUUUGAAGUGUUAACUGAGACUGAUACAAAAC